UACGAAGGGGGCUAGCGUUGCUCGGAAUCACUGGGCGUAAAGCGCACGUAGGCGGAUUCUUAAGUCGGUGGUGAAAUCCUGGAGCUCAACUCCAGAACUGCCUUCGAUACUGAGAGUCUUGAGUCCGGGAGAGGUGAGUGGAACUGCGAGUGUAGAGGUGAAAUUCGUAGAUAUUCGCAAGAACACCGGUGGCGAAGGCGGCAUUCUGGACCAUUACUGACGCUGAGGAGCGAAAGCCAGGGGAGCAAACGGG
rnacentral:rRNA from 1 species